AUGAACGCUUUUCAUAAGGGAGAUGCUUUUAUUUUUUACUACAGCUCACCUUGCUUGGUACCUUGUUUGGAAAAAGACCUCCCUCUUGGAUUCUUCCAUUUUAAGGAAGGAAUGAUUGAGAGGAGCAGAACAUUGUUUCAAAUUCUCUUAGAAUGGAUUGUAAAUUGUCUGCCGUCAUGCCUGUGGCCAGCUGCCAUUCUCCCAUACUUAAUUCAGAGACUAUUGCUAUUGACAUGUUUCCGAGGAGCAUUUAAUUCAACUGGAUACUCCCAGCACCAAAUCUCCCCUCUAAGAAACAUGGCUGAGACCAAAGAAAGAAGCAAGAAUGCCCUCUGAAGAGCCAGCUCAAUCUCCUGGAGUCAGAGCCAGCAGGUGUGGAACCCUUAUCACAGAAGAAGCACCCUGAGCCCCAAAUCAAAGCUUAUUUCAUCUCAGCACAAAACUUAAGUAAUUUUGUUUUUCUGGUUUCUAUGCCAACAGGCUAGAAGGGUUUUAUACAAUGCUAAUUUCUUGGGUAGAAUUUUAAAGCAAUCCUGCUGUAAGAAAUACUAAAUCCUACUUUGGAAUCCUGUUGACUUAUAUCCUCAGUCCUAUUUCAGGGCUUCUUCCUCUGUCUCCAAUUGACUCCAUGUAUAAUUGUUUACAGCUCUGUCUCCUCUUUCAGAGUAGGUACUUACUACUAUGUCCGAUUAAUAUUUGCAUUCCUCUUUCCUCCAAAAAGCUUGCACAGUGUAGGCAUACAAUAAAUGCUCAUUAAACAUGAAUCA
rnacentral:lncRNA from 1 species